UAACCUCCGGAAACGGAAGCUAAUACCGGAUAUGACGUACGGAGGCAUCUCCUGUACGUGGAAAGAACUUCGGUCAAGGAUGGACUCGCGGCCUAUCAGGUAGUUGGUGAGGUAACGGCUCACCAAGCCUACGACGGGUAGCCGGCCUGAGAGGGUGACCGGCCACACUGGGACUGAGACACGGCCCAGACUCCUACGGGAGGCAGCAGUGGGGAAUAUUGCACAAUGGGCGCAAGCCUGAUGCAGCAACGCCGCGUGAGGGAUGACGGCCUUCGGGUUGUAAACCUCUUUUAGUAGGGAAGAAGCGAAAGUGACGGUACCUGCAGAAAAAGCACCGGCUAACUACGUGCCAGCAGCCGCGGUAAUACGUAGGGUGCGAGCGUUGUCCGGAAUUAUUGGGCGUAAAGAGCUCGUAGGCGGUCUGUCGCGUCUGCUGUGAAAACCCGAGGCUCAACCUCGGGCCUGCAGUGGGUACGGGCAGACUAGAGUGCGGUAGGGGAGAAUGGAAUUCCUGGUGUAGCGGUGGAAUGCGCAGAUAUCAGGAGGAACACCGAUGGCGAAGGCAGUUCUCUGGGCCGUAACUGACGCUGAGGAGCGAAAGCGUGGGGAGCGAACAGGAUUAGAUACCCUGGUAGUCCACGCCGUAAACGUUGGGCGCUAGAUGUGGGGACCAUUCCACGGUUUCCGUGUCGCAGCUAACGCAUUAAGCGCCCCGCCUGGGGAGUACGGCCGCAAG
rnacentral:rRNA from 1 species